GACGUAGGGGGCGAGCGUUGUCCGGAUUCAUUGGGCGUAAAGAGCGUGUAGGCGGCCCGGUAAGUCCGCCGUGAAAGUCCAGGGCUCAACCCUGGGAUGCCGGUGGAAACUGUCGGGCUCGAGUCCGGAAGAGGCGAGUGGAAUUCCUGGUGUAGCGGUGAAAUGCGCAGAUAUCAGGAGGAACACCAAUGGCGAAGGCAGCUCGCUGGGACGGUACUGACGCUGAGACGCGAAAGCGUGGGGAGCGAACAGG
rnacentral:rRNA from 1 species